rnacentral:rRNA from 1 species
UACGUAGGUGGCAAGCGUUGUCCGGAUUUACUGGGUGUAAAGGGGCGCAGGCGGGAAGCUAAGUUGGAUGUGAAAUACCGGGGCUCAACUCCGGAGCUGCAUCCAAAACUGGUUUUCUUGAGUGGAGUAGAGGCAAGCGGAAUUCCGAGUGUAGCGGUGAAAUGCGUAGAUAUUCGGAGGAACACCAGUGGCGAAGGCGGCUUGCUGGGCUCUAACUGACGCUGAGGCCCGAAAGCGUGGGGAGCAAACAGGAUUAGAUACCCCCGUAGUCCCUGA